rnacentral:lncRNA from 1 species
GCUCACCAAGAACUCAAGUGCUCAUUCAAUAAAACACACACAGCUGAAGGGAAACAGUUAAGAGCCCUGGGUCUGGAGCAAAACUGCUGAGGUUUGAGGCCCCGUUUUGCUGCUCACUAGCUACAUGAUCUUGGGCAAGUUAUUUAAGCUCUCUGAGCUUCAGUUUCUUCCUCUGCAGAAUGGGGAUGAAAGUGGACUACUACCUCAUGGCAUGUUUUGAGGAUGAAAUGAGCUAAUAAACACAGUCUUCAGCCCUACAUUAGGAUGGCCUAAGGAAAACAAGAAGACUGAAUGAUAUUCCCUGGUUCUCACUCUGUCAUCCAAGCUAGAGUGCAGUGGGGUAAAACACGGCUCACUGCAGCCUCGAUCUCUUGGCUCAAGCUAUCCUCCUGCCUCAGCCUCCUGUUUAUCUGGGACCACAGCUGACUUAUAUAAGUUAUUAGUCUUCUAGAAGGAUCACAAGGAACCAGCAUCAAAGAAAUGGAAUCCAGCUAAUUCCCCCAAGAAACUGAAGUUUUCGGGACAUGACUUGUGAAAGGCAAACAUAAGCUGACAUCUUUUCACACUGAACAGCAAGAGCCAAAGUGUAUCCGAAAAGCCAUUGUCAAAACAAGGAGUGAGAACAGCUGGGGUCAAGACCUAAUGAAGGGCAUCACUCAGCCUCUUUGAGCCUCGGAUUCCUCAUUUGUAAAGUGGGCAUAAUAAUACCUCACAGGGUAGUUAUGAGGGCAAAUGAGAUAAUGGACACGAAGGCACCUGUACACUCCACGGUGCUAUCAGAAUAUUGACUAUUAGUGCUUUCAUCACGCGGCUCCAUCCAAACCCCUGCUUUCCCUCACUCCAGCAACCUGGCGGUUCCCCGCUCCAGGGAGGUCACCCUCUUGAUGCUGAAUUUAGCACGGACACCUGAUGGGCACAGUGCACUGCAGCCCAGAGCUCCUGAGCUCAAGCCAUCCUCCUGCCUCAGCCUCCAAGUAGCCAGGACCACAGGCACGCACCCUGAGGAGGAAGAAAUACCAGGUGCGCAUGCUCCAAGAAAAAGCCAUCUGAGGACGCGGCAAGAAGGCCGCCAUCUACAAGCCAAGGAGAGGGGCCUCAGGAGAAAUCGAACCUGUCACACCUUGAUCUUGGACUUCCAGCCUUCAGAACUGUGAGAAAGUAAAUUUCUGUGUUCAAGCUACCAGGUCUGUGGGAUUUUUUAUGGCAGCCCUAGCAGACUAAGACAGGCAUCAAUGGUUCCAAUGUUUUCAUUUUUUUUCCGGUAAGCAGACCGAAGCCCAGAGAGAUGAAGCAAUUUGCCCAAAGUCACAUACCAAGUUAACUGAAGAGUUGGGGUUAGAAUCCAGCUCUUGUGACUUCUCUCUUUUCAGUUUCCCUUCCCACUCCCCCCACUGAAAAGCUUUUGAGUGACUCUUUUAGAAAUCCCGGUUCUGUAUAUGAAGCAGAAUUGAGCACAGCUGCUCUAAUGAAGGGCUCAGAGCUCCCAGGCUUUUCUCUCUCCCCUGCCCCUUUUCCCUGUUGCACCUCUGCAGUGUCCUGAGGGUUGAUGGAAUCUAGUUUGAAAGCUAUUGCUCUACCUCACUGCCUCCUGAAUGCAAUGUCACAAAUUUUCCCAACUUGCCAUUUCUCUCACACUGACAUAAAGCAUUAGAAACCUGUUGUGAAGUAGGAAAGCUAACUGGGUCAGUAGCUGAUAAGAUAAUCUGGCCUAGGGGAUAGAUGAUUAGGAUUUCAGAGAAGGAAAGGUCACCCAAUUGAUUUGACUCUGUCCUGGGGCGAUGAUAUGGUGAAGAUUUCUACAGAUGCAGCAGAAACAUCCGGAAACCAGGUGUGUCCCAGCUCUGGUCUGGGAACCAUUUCAUAAAUUGGCAAAUAUCCAGGAUAUACACAUGGCUAAUUCUGAGGUGUACUGAAGUUUCAAUAAAGCUACUUUGGUAAUGACUAGGAGAAGAAAAUCCUAUGGCUGGACUUCAUUAAUGUUGUAUGGCCAAGGACAGUGUUUCUCUAAUUAUGGCCUGUGAACCUCCCUGGAUCUCGAUCACCUGCAUAUUUGGGAAUAUGCAGGUUCCAGGGUCCCACCUGAAACUACAGAAUCAGUAUUGAGAUCCCAGGUGAUUCUCAUGUACACUCAAGUGUAAGAUUAUUAGCACCUGGACUUUGGAAGCAGCCAGAUAAAAGUUUGGAUCCUGGGUUGGCUACUUCCUAGAUGUGGCCAAGUCAUUUUACUUGCCAUGCUUUUGCUUUUCUUGUCUGUAAAGUGGACAUGAUACCUAUUUUACAGGGUGGUUUUGAGGAAUAAGGUCAGCAUUAAACAUUUAUCCUCUUUAGGGAGACAGAGAGAGGAGAUGAAAUAGAGUAGAAUUGAGAAAAGCAGUUUCUUAGACCUCCCUGUGAAGUUUUUCUUAUUUCAACAAAUAAUAAAAUAAAAAAUUCAUACACUUUCUUAGUGCUUGUUUGGACUUAAGAAUUUAAAAAUAACUUGAGAGUUUUAUAGGCAUCAAGGAUGAUGUCUGAGUGCUGGAAAUACUUGACCUUUGGCUGGAAGGUGGAGUGAAGGUGCCAGCGGACUGAACCCUGGGAGACUGUCUUCUGUUUUAUGAAUGUGGUCAUGCUCUGAGUUAAAUGAUGUCCCUGGUAAGGACAUCUCCCAGAAAAGCUUAGAAAUCAGCUGUAAUCCUUGUUCCCUGCA